GGGGUCGGUGGACAGGUGGUGCAUGGUUGUCGUCAGCUCGUGUCGUGAGAUGUUGGGUUAAGUCCCGCAACGAGCGCAACCCUCGUUCUAUGUUGCCAGCACGUGAUGGUGGGGACUCAUAGGAGACUGCCGGGGUCAACUCGGAGGAAGGUGGGGAUGACGUCAAAUCAUCAUGCCCCUUAUGUCUUGGGCUUCACGCAUGCUACAAUGGCCGGUACAAAGGGUUGCGAUACUGUGAGGUGGAGCUAAUCCCAAAAAGCCGGUCUCAGUUCGGAUUGAGGUCUGCAACUCGACCUCAUGAAGUCGGAGUCGCUAGUAAUCGCAGAUCAGCAACGCUGCGGUGAAUACGUUCCCGGGCCUUGUACACACCGCCCGUCAAGUCACGAAAGUUGGUAACACCCGAAGCCGGUGGCCUAACCCCUUGAGGGAGGGAGCCGUCGAAGGUGG
rnacentral:rRNA from 1 species